AGACCAUUUCAUUUUGCCCAGCAAUAGCCUAGAAUCUGGCACCUGUAGGACUAAAGACCGGGAAUAGCCUGGAAGAAGUGGGUGGGGAGCGCCAGGCAGGGCAGACCAGAUCGCAAAGGAAAAAACCCUGGCGUGCAAGCACCGAUAGGAGAGGAAAUGUUUGCUCAGCUGUAAAGGAGGGAGAGAAAAGGGAGAAAGCACAGGCGGCGUGGCAGGUCUUGUUUCAGUGAGAAUGUAAAGUACGUGAGCUAUGUGCUUUGUGAUGAAGUCGUUGAUUUAUUUCACUUUGGAACAAGCACACCACAACAAAGUGAGAAUGAGAAGGUAAUUCAGAGGGAGAAG
rnacentral:lncRNA from 1 species